GCCCGGAUAGCUCAGUCGGUAGAGCAGGGGAUUGAAAAUCCCCGUGUCCUUGGUUCGAAUUCCGAGUCCGGGCACCA
rnacentral:tRNA from 2 species